GGAGAGAGGCGGGGCUAAACUCGGCUGCGCACGCUCGGUGUGGACCGUUCUCCGCUGCUGUGGCUGCCUCUGCCCACUCUGGAGUAGGAGUGAGGUGCAGGCGACCUGGUAGCAGAAGGGCCCCGUAGGCGAGCCACCAUGGCCCGGUGGCUGCAGCUCUGUUCCUUCUUCUUCACUGUCAACGCCGGCCUCAGUGGCUCACAGCUGGCAGUGGUUGUGGGCGGCUCAGGCCGCCCGAGGGGCCUCCUGCCGACACCUGUGGCAGGAGUGUAAGGCCAGGGCUUGUUCGCGCUCCAGGUUAUCUGAGGGCUAGCGCCACGCACAGGUGCUGGCAGACAGGGGAGUCGGGUUCCUCUGAUCUGUAGAUGCUGGAUCUGCUGUCAGUGGUGUCCCUGGCUCCUCCAGCCCAUUCCGCCUCAAGGUCCCCAAGCGAGCAUCCGCUGGUCCCCCUCUGGAUGAAAGAAACUUGCGUUUGUGAAUGCCUCGAUUUUGGGAGGACUAUGAAACAGAUCUUUAAGCAAGCAUGCAAUAGUUAAGACUCGGGGACCUUUUGGAGAAGGGCUAAAGGCAUUUUGCAUUAUCAGAUGGGCAGAACUUGAGUAUGAGACUCCCUCUGAGCACAAUCAUGUGAUAAAGACUUCAUUGUCAGCCUGUGAAAUUAUUGAAAAAAAUCACACUACUUGCCAUGUAUCAAGAAGUGUCCACUGACUGAGAAGCCUUCACCAACAGGUCUUCUGAUGUAGAACAAGCCAGCCUGGAAUUCACCAUGAAGCCCUGGCUGGUGUUAAACUCUGACGUAUCCUGUUUCAGCUUCUUGAGUAAUGAGAUUACUCAAGAACGUACUUACAGGUAAAUAUACCUAGCUUAAUAAUAAUUAUAAUGCACUUUCACAGCAAGAUGCUUGGAUAAUGCUGAGACUGCCAUUUUUAGCGGUACACUUGGAGAGACACUGCAAUACAUUGGCUUUAAUUUUAGAUGGGCCACUGAAAGAUUACUGAUACUUUUAACUGCCUUCACCCAAAGGCGUUUUUUUUUUUUUUUUUGGUUUUUACGAGACAGGGUUUCUCUGUAUUGUUUUGGAGGCUGUCAUUCCAGCCUGGCCUCAAACUCACAGAGAUCUGCCUGCCUCUGCCUCCCGAGUGCUGGGAUUAAAGGCAUGCGCCACCACUGCCCAGCCAAAGGUGUUUUUAAUAGUAAGAAUUACGAUACUUCUGUUGACAAAUGAUAAGAAUUAUUUUGGGUAGGAGACAUCAUGUGGAAAGCAGAAAAGUUUUAUAGUGAGUUCUUGUUAGUUUGUCUAGGAUUCGUUCCCAUGCAGGAAAUCUAUCAAAUGCUGAUAUAAAUAGUACUUAGUUACAGAGCACAGCCAAUUUCACAUAAUCUUUCUAGCACUGUUUGAUGAGCACUGACUUAUCCAUUCUUCACAUUACCCCAAUUUUGGACAUCAUUGACAUGGAACAUCUUUAUAGAAGGGUCAAAAUUAGGUUAAUGUAGGCUAAAGCUUGCCCAACAUACUUAGGUAGCUGGGAAAUGAUUCUCUCUCAAUAAAAAGAGAGAAGUCAAGAUGUUCUCUAGUGUAAGUAAUGAAGAUCUAACAAAUGGACUACAGUAGGUAGCUUUGUCCAAGAUCUGAUAGUUGUUGAAGUAGUUACAUCUAUGAGGGCUAAGACAGACUGUGUGUGCAAUAGAGACUAACAAAACUGCAGCAGAUUCUUCCCAUGUCUUUCCAAAGUCCAUGCUAUGUACUCCAUUCAUAGUACCCACCCUUAGACUCCCAAAUCCACCCAACAUUAUUUGUGGGAGUUUGGAUUUAUCUGUUAAUCUCCAGUCCAGUUGAAAUUGACUUGGGCUUGUUAUACUUACUAGAACCAGGAAUUUGAGUUGCUGAAUUUAGGUAAAGUCAUACUGAAGGAGUGAGUUGAUGAUACUAUUAAUAGUGUAUGUAUCUCAGGGAAUUUUCAUGAAAAGUACUUCUAAGGAUCUUUCUAGGAAGGUAGACAAGAGCAUGGGAGGGAGAGGGAGGGCAGAAGGGGAAAGAGGAGCAGAAAAAGGGAGUGGGGAGAACAUGAGGGAAAGGAACAGCAUGGUCAAGUUGGAGGAAGGAA